UACGGAGGGGGCUAGCGUUGUUCGGAAUUACUGGGCGUAAAGGGCGCGUAGGCGGCCUGUUAAGUCGAACGUGAAAUCCCCGGGCUCAACCCGGGAACUGCGUCCGAUACUGGCAGGCUUGAAUCCGGGAGAGGGAUGCGGAAUUCCAGGUGUAGCGGUGAAAUGCGUAGAUAUCUGGAGGAACACCGGGUGGCGAAGGCGGCAUCCUGGACCGGCAUUGACGCUGAGGCGCGAAAGCCAGGGGAGCAAAGC
rnacentral:rRNA from 1 species